rnacentral:misc_RNA from 1 species
GUGAGUCAUCGAAUCUUUGAACGCACAUUGCGCCCCUUGGUAUUCCGAGGGGCAUACCUGUUCGAGCGUCAUUACAACACUCAAGCCUAGCUUGGUAUUGGGCUCCGCUGCUUACCCAGCGCGCCUUAAAAUUAGUGGCGGUGCCGUCGGGCUCCUGAGCGCAGUAAAAACCUCGCUAUAGGGACCGGUGAACAUUUGCCAGAAACCCCAACUUUUUUAGUUUGACCUCGGAUCAGGUAGGGCUACCCGCUGAACUUAAGCAUAUCAAUAAGCGGAGGA